rnacentral:tRNA from 1 species
GCAAUAGUGGUUCAGUGGUAGAAUUCUCGACUUUCAUGCAGGAGACCCGGGUUUGAUUCCUGGGCAAUGCA